rnacentral:lncRNA from 1 species
CCCUGACUUCCCCCCGCUCCCGCGUCCCGCACUUUCCCAUCCACAGAACGCACGGCUUUGAACCACCCACGGACGGUCUUGGCUCGGCGUUUCCACGUGGCUGUGACGGGCAGGGUCUCUCUCGGUUCCACACACAGUUUUCCUGCAACCAGAGGCCUUCACUCCGGAUCCUUCUAGUUUUGGCCCUUGAGAGAACCGACACGUUCAAAUGCCCGUGAGCCCUCAGGGGACGUGGACACGGACGUCACCAAAUCCGUGGCACGAGAAAAUGACUUGGCUAAUAAGCCUCCCCAGCCGACAGCAAACCCUGUCUCCACAAGUGAUCAGCCCGUAGAAGGACAGUGCGAUGAGCGCAGCUCUGUGGAAGCAGCGAAGGGAACCAAGGGAGAUGGAGGGCCUGACCUCAUCCGGCGCUACCACAGGCAAACCCUAAACCACUGCUGUCGCCCCGAUAAGCACAGGCCCACGAUUGUGGGGAAGUUGUUCUCGUGAUGGUGACUGUAACAGAUUACCCACUUUUCCUCCUUUCUAUUAAAGCGAACAGAUUUACCUCUGGGCUUUGAGAGCUGAUGCUCCUCCCGGCAAAGCCCCCAGGCCGCUGGGUCAUCAGCAUCUUACGAACCAGAGCAGACGUCCAACCCCAUCAACCACGGGGCCCUUUUAAACAUUUCUGCUUCAUCCGUGCUCUCCGACCAUCAUCUUCUUUGUGACGCUUGUCGUUAAUGACGCUUAGUUUACCUGUGCGGUUGGAGCAGGUUUGGAGGGCCGACUGGGACGUCCCGAAAGGCAGCGUUGAAGCGGUGCUGGGACGCUCCUGUCACGAGCUCCCCCGGCCGGCCGUUCCCCUUCGAACGCAUGACCCGAUGCAGGUUUCCAGCCCGUGGAGGCGUCAUCCUAGCUGCGGCUGCUACCAGGGCCGGCCAGCCAUUCCUGCCGGAGUCGCUCCUCCGUGGCUUUGUCCUCAGCCCAACGUGCAGGCUCAGGAACGCGUCAUCCCGUGCGGCCGACCCAGCAUGAAGAGGGGAGUCCGGUGGCACAACGAGAGGCACAGGAGGCGGGCUGAAUGCGGACGGGGAAGCGAAAUUAUCCUCUUGUUUGGAGUCAUGUGGGGAUUAGGGAUACCUGUGUUUUGAGGGGGGAAAGAUGCUUUCAAAAUGGGGUAAUUUCCAGACUAAAAAUUUUCCUAGGGCCGUAGCAGCAAGAACCGUGGAAUGUAAAGUCAUGUUAAGACCAGAGUCCUGACCGGUGAGGGUGGUCAGUAUUUUGGAAAGAUGAAAAAGCACGGGGGACCACCCCGUUGGAAAUACAGGGAAGGGAGCCGUCUAGGGAGCUUCGCUGGUGCACCUGGAAGCUGGCCCCACACACAGACGGCAGGAAGGGACCGAAGAGGGAGGCCGGCCACUCCAGGUUGGUAGGUGACAAUUUUAAUAGUGAAGGGAACUUACACAGCCCGGUCUUGGGCAGCACCAAGACACAG